AACACUAGAUACUCACUUCCCUUGUGUCAGAUGUGUGUUUGUGUCUUCUCUUAGCCAAGCCAGGAAUCACACAGGGCGGUAAAUAUAUGUAAUUUAGCUAGCUGACGCUUUUAUCCAAACCAAUUACAGUACUGCGUGCAUACAUUUCCGUGUUGUUGGCAGCAGCUAGAUUUGAACCCCCGUUCCUGAUAGUGAUGUGCUCUGUUCCCCUGUCUACCCGUCAGAGAUCCGGAAUGGGAAUCUGAAGACCAUCCUGGGACUCUUCUUCAUCCUGUCUCGCUACAAGCAGCAGCAGCAGCAGCAGCAGCAGUACUACCAGUCCCUGGUAGAGCUUACACACCAGACCACCCUCAAAACGCAACCAGAGAUGCAGUCCAGUCUCACUGCGCGGUAUGGUAGCCCCCCGGGUCACAGCGGAAUAGGAGCAGCACCACAGAAGAAAAACACAAGGUUGCCAGGGCCGACCAGGGUGUCCGCUGCAGGCAGCGGGGCCCCAAAGGGCCAAGGAUCCUCCAACCUCAACAGGAGGAGUCAGAGCUUUAACAGCAUCGAUAAGAGCAAGCCUCUCCAGUAUGCUAGUGGCAAUG